rnacentral:rRNA from 1 species
CCUACGGGUGGCAGCAGUGGGGAAUAUUGGACAAUGGGCGAAAGCCUGAUCCAGCCAUGCCGCGUGUGUGAAGAAGGCCUUCGGGUUGUAAAGCACUUUCAGUGGGGAAGAAAGCCUUGGGGCUAAUACCCUCGAGGAAGGACAUCACCCACAGAAGAAGCACCGGCUAACUCCGUGCCAGCAGCCGCGGUAAUACGGAGGGUGCGAGCGGUAAUCGGAAUUACUGGGCGUAAAGCGCGCGUAGGCGGUCUGAUAAGCCGGUUGUGAAAGCCCCGGGCUCAACCUGGGAACGGCAUCCGGAACUGUCAGGCUAGAGUGCAGGAGAGGAAGGUAGAAUUCCCGGUGUAGCGGUGAAAUGCGUAGAGAUCGGGAGGAAUACCAGUGGCGAAGGCGGCCUUCUGGACUGACACUGACGCUGAGGUGCGAAAGCGUGGGUAGCAAACAGGAUUAGAUACCCUAGUAGUC